UCUACGUCGUCCUAGGAAGGGAGGUGACUGUCACCACCACCUGAGGAGGAACGACACUAGUCGAUCGUGCCUCUUGCUGACGAUCUUCCCUGUUUGGCGUGCCUCAAACCAACGUGUUUCCUCACCUGGUUUGCACAUUAUUUUUUUGGUACCUUCCGUUGCCUAGUUUCGUGCUUUCUGCCUCGGUAUCUAUACCUUUAAUUGAAAAAUGACUGAUAGAAAGAAGGAAGCCUCUGAAACAAAGGCUGAAUUUGUCAGUGAUAAUCCCUCUUUACAAAUUAGUCCUGUAAAAUUGGAUGGAAUUAAUUAUUUGGCAUGGUCUAGAUCCUGUCUACUGUUCAUUCAGGCUAGAGGACUGCUGGGGUAUAUCACUGGAGAUAAGAAAAAGCUAAAAAGUGCUAGUUCUACCCACAAUCAGUGGGAGUCGGAGAACUCUCUUGUUAUGUUAUGGCUCAUCAAUUCUAUGCAACCUCAUAUAGCUCGUGGGUAUUCACUGUUGAACAGUGCAGCUACCAUUUAGAGUACUGUUUCUCAGACUUAUUCUCAAGUUGGGAAUGAUGCCCAAGUUUAUGAGCUCAGAAACAAGGUUCAUGGAAUGAAACAAGGUGAGUUGACUGUUGCUCAAUAUUAUGCGGAAUUGAGUGGUCUAUGGCAAGAGUUGGAUUUCUAUUACUUUCAGGCGUCAUAUCCGGCUGAUGCAGUUAAGUUCCAUAAAUUGAUUGAGAAGGAGCGCAUGUAUGAUAUUCUUGCUGGGCUAAAUGAGGAGGAUGAUCAGAUUCAGGUUCAAGUAUUUGGUGAGGAUCCUUUGCCCACCUUAAGGCAGACAUAUUCUUAUGUUCAGCAGGAAGAGAGCAGAAGGAGUGUCAUGAUCAAUUCUACAGCUGUUGAUAAGGUUGGGCUGACUGCUAACUCAUUACAAGAAUAGUCACAUGGUCCAUCAGAUAAGGAUCACUUGCAUUGUGACUACUGUGGGAAAUCCCGGCACACCAAAGAACAAUGUUAGAAGCUGCAUGGUCGCCCAACUAAAGGACGUGGAGGAAGAAGGAUGGGCUCUGCUAGACCACAAGCAAAUGUAUCUGAGGCUGUGAGUGUUUCUGAAGAUACUGCUAUCACUGGGAUGUUUUUCAAUGAAGAGGUACAGACUCUAAGGCGAUUCUUGUCACAACUUGAAUCACAAUCCACUACAGUUGCCUCUUCUAACUUUGUCAACUCAGGAAUUGAAAAUAGGGAGAACGAUUGACAGUGGUAGACUGCAAGAUGGGCUAUAUUUAUUGAAUGAUUGUGUUGAGCAAGCCAUGUUGGGACGGUCUAUGGGUGUUGAGGAAGAAAUUAUCCAGUGGCAUAGGAGACUUGGACAUCCUUCAUUUAUGGUUUUAGAGAAACUUUAUCCUCUUUUGUUUAAGCAAUGCAAAACUGAAUUGUUAGUAUGUGAUGCUUGUGAGUUUGCCAAACAUACUAGACAAUCUUAUCCCACAAUAAAUAAUAAGGCUUCAAUUCCUUUUA